rnacentral:lncRNA from 1 species
CGGAUGAGCCGAGCGGCGGAGGUGAUGGUCCAGCACGUGGAGAACCUGAAGCGGCACCACCUGCGGGAGCACGCCGAGCUGGAGGAGAUGAAGCGCCUGAUCCAGCAAAACUCCCGCAACCGGCAGCUGGCCGAGACCCAGGAUGACGCGGAGCCACGGCUGAGGCCUCACCCCCUGAUGCGAUCCUUCCAGCAGGCGUCUGCCCGCCGCAGAGUCAGCAUCGCCGUCAUCCCCAAGCAGCUCUUGCCAGGUGCCAGCACGGACGGCCGAGCGUCCCCCGCCAGCGAGCCGGAGGGGUCCCAGCGCCCGGCCAGCACCCAGAGGAGCGAGCUGGAGCCACCGGGCCGGGGCAGCACCGUGAGCGGGGAGCCGGCGGCUGAGGCGGAUGGCAAGGACACGAGCGCAGGGGGCGAGGAGCCGGAGCAGCUUGGGCUGAUGUCCAAGGGGUCCGCGGCGGAGCUGUGGCGGCCGUGGCUCUUCCUCCCGCAGCACUACUGGGUUCUGUUCUGGCUGCUUCUCCUCAGCGUCGCCUUCCUCCUCCUCCUCCGCGUCCUGGAGCUGCAGCGGCUGCAGCCCGCGGCGUCGCCCAAGGCCUAGCUGCAGCGGGGGGGAGGCAGCUGGGGGGCACCCGCUCUCCAUCACUGCUCCUGCCCCCCGCCACGAAACACAGAGACCCUAGAGAAAUAAAAUCGGAGGCAGAAUUGGGGAGUUUUUGGAUGGAGCAGGCGGCGAUGCCCUGUGCUAGGAGCUGAGGGGGGCUGGAGCCAGCUUGCGGGCACGAAGCUGCAGCAGCCCCCAGCCCUGCCAGGGGUUUCCUUGUUCUCCCGGCACGCUGAGGGCUAUGGGGAUGUGCCCACGUGUCCCCUUUUCCCUGGGGACACAAACC